rnacentral:rRNA from 1 species
UACGUGAGGGGCAAGCGUUGUCCGGAAUCAUUGGGCGUAAAGAGCGCGUAGGCGGCCCUGUAAGUCCGCUGUGAAAGUCAAGGGCUCAACCCUUGAAUGCCGGUGGAUACUGUCGGGCUCGAGUCCGGAAGAGGCGAGUGGAAUUCCUGGUGUAGCGGUGAAAUGCGCAGAUAUCAGGAGGAACACCGAUGGCGAAGGCAGCUCGCUGGGACGGUACUGACGCUGAGACGCGAAAGCGUGGGGAGCAAACAGG